AGCAGGAACCUGUUUGAAGUUUGAACCCGGAGGACCCAGCCCUUCCCUUCCCUUCCUCGGACGAAAUCGAGACCUGUCCCGUUGUGCCGCUGUAAAAAAAACCCAAAACAAACGCCGCGGCUUCUGCUCCUGUUUCGGAGCGGCAGCCGCUCGGGAUGGACGUGGAAAACGGGAAGCCCCGGACUUCGCCUCGGCGACGGGAAAGUUAGAAGCGGAGAGAGCAAGUAAAGUUAAAACUCCGGACGGCGUGUAGCGACUACACAAGAAAGCACCCGGGGAAUGAUCUGGAUGAACAUGUAACUUGCUGGGUGAAUGAAUGAGCAGUAACAUCACAAAUCCGGCUCUUUUUGGUAGGAUAGGUAGUCUUCGACUUAUGGCUGUUUUUCCGCACUUACAACCUUUGCAGUAUCUCCAGAGUCACGUGAUCAAAGUUCAACAGUAAUAAGAAGAAGGAGAAGUAGUAGUGCCUGGACGUCAUCGGAAUAUGCAAGUGCAUCAGUAAUUUCAUUGCAAAUGCGAUGAAGCACUGGAAAACGGAACUGUUUAUUGGAAGUGAAAGCUACGGACUGGUCAACAUCAAAAGAGGGAUUUUCCAGGGUGAUUCUUUGUCACCUCUGCUGUUCAUCAUUGCUAUGAUCCCCCUGUCAACAAUUUUACAGAAAACUAACCUGGGUUAUCAAACUUGAGCUGACAGCUGGUGUAACAAAGCACUGCAUGGACAGUUCCUUGAAAAGAUCCAAGGAAAAGUAGAUAAGGAAAAGACCUGGUUAUGGCUGACCAACAGAACAUUGAUUCUUGCAGCCCAAGAACAAGCCAUUAGAAUAAAUGUAAUCAAAGCCAGAAUAGAAAAAUCUGCUGAUGAUCCCAAAUGCAGACUCUGCAAAGAAGCAGAUGAAACCAUUGAUCACAUACUGAGCUGCUGUAAGACAGUAGCUCAGACCGACUACAAACAACGUCACAACACAGUUGCUCAGAUGGUCCACUGGAACUUGUGUCACAACUACCAUCUGCCUGUAGCAAAGAACUGGUGGGAUCAUAAGCCUGAAAAUGUGAUUGAAAAUGAGCAUGCAAAAUCACUGUGGGAUUUCCGAAUAGAGACUGAUUAAGUUUUGGAACACAAUACCCCGGAUAUCACGAUUGUGGAAAAGAAAAAUGUGUGGAUAGUCAACAUUGCUAUACCUGGUGACAGCAGAAUCGAUGAGAAAUAACUUGAAAAAGUCACCAGAUAUCAAGAUUUGAGAAUUGAAUUGCAGAGAUUCUGGCAUAAACCAGUGCAGGUGGUUCCAGUGGUACUCGGCACACUGGGAGCUGUGCCUAAAAACCUAGGCAAGCACUUAAAAGCAAUUGGCGCUGACAAGAUCACCAUUGGUCAGCUGCAGAAGGCCACCUUAUUGGGAUCUGCUCGCAUAAUUCGCCGAUACAUCACACAGUCCUAAACACUUGGAAAGUGUUCGACUAGUGAUCUGUGAUACGAAAUCCAGCAUAGUUAUCUCGUUUGCUGUGUAUACUGUCAUAAUAUAUAAUUUUAAGAAGAUAUUUGGCUGGUACCUAGGAUGCUGCCAGCAAACCAUAUCAACCAUCAGCGCCAGUCAAUGAUAUUUGUGAUGCAUUUUAAAAUGUUGACUGAGUUUCAUGUUUAAUGAAUAAAAUAGAUCAUCAUCAUCCUUUGGUAUUUGCCACCAGCAUUCCACCAUGUAUCCACUGACUUGGAAAUAAGCCCCACUAAAUUCAGAGGACAAAGUUCUGAGAAAGAGAAAGAGGGUUUUUUUUGUGUCAUAUUCAUCCAAAUGAGUCUUCCUACUGUAAACUUUUAUUUCAAAGAAAUUACUUUCAGUUAUCCAUGUUAACAACUCAUGGACUCAACAGAAAAAAUGAAUGUGCAUUAUAGGAGAUUAAACAUUCAUUUUAAGGUUG